rnacentral:rRNA from 1 species
GAUGAACGCUGGCGGCGUGCUUAACACAUGCAAGUCGAACGAAGCCAAAAGGAAGCUUGCUUUCUUUGAAGCUUAGUGGCGGACGGGUGAGUAACGCGUGAGUAACCUGCCCUUCAGUGGGGAAUAACACAGAGAAAUCUGUGCUAAUACCGCAUAACGUCUUCUUGCCGCAUGACAGGAAGACCAAAGGAUUUAUUCGCUGAAGGAUGGACUCGCGUCCGAUUAGCUAGUUGGUGAGGUAACGGCCCACCAAGGCGACGAUCGGUAGCCGAACUGAGAGGUUGAUCGGCCACAUUGGGACUGAGACACGGCCCAGACUCCUACGGGAGGCAGCAGUGGGGAAUAUUGGGCAAUGGGCGAAAGCCUGACCCAGCAACGCCGCGUGAAGGAAGACGGUCUUCGGAUUGUAAACUUCUUUGAUUGGGGAAGAAACAAAUGACUAC